CUACGGGUUGCUCCAGUGGGGAAUAUUGCGCAAUGGGCGAAAGCCUGACGCAGCAACGCCGCGUGGGUGAUGAAGGUCUUCGGAUCGUAAAACCCUGUCGUCAGGGACGAAGACUACUUAUUUAAUAGAUUUGUAGUUUGACGGUACCUGGAAAGGAAGCCCCGGCUAACUCUGUGCCAGCAGCCGCGGUAAUACAGAGGGGGCAAGCGUUAUUCGGAAUUAUUGGGCGUAAAGAGCGCGUAGGCGGUGUUUUAAGUGAGAUGUGCAAUCCCCGAGCUUAACUUGGGAACUGCAUCUCAUACUGGAACGCUAGAGUAUCGGAGAGGGUGGUAGAAUUCCACGUGUAACGGUGAAAUGUAUAGAGAUGUGGAGGAAUACCAGUGGCGAAGGCGGCCACCUGGACGAUAACUGACGCUGAGGUGCGAAAGUGUGGGUAGCAAACAGGAUUAGAUACCCUAGUAGUC
rnacentral:rRNA from 1 species